rnacentral:rRNA from 1 species
UACGGAGGGUGCAAGCGGUAAUCGGAAUAACUGGGCGUAAAGGGCACGCAGGCGGUCUUUCAAGUCUGAUGUGAAAUCCCCGGGCUUAACCUGGGAAUUGCAUUUGAAACUGGGAGACUAGAGUGCUGUAGGGGGGGGUAGAAUUCCAAGUGUAGCGGUGAAAUGCGUAGAGAUGUGGAGGAAUACCGGUGGCGAAGGCGGCCCCCUGGGCAUGUACUGACGCUCAGGUGCGAAAGCGUGGGGAGCAAAAAGG